AGACAAUAGAUACCCGGGUAGUCCACACCGUAAACGAUGGAUACUAGAUGUCGGAAGUUCUUACCCUUUCGGUGUCGUAGCUAAACGCGUUAAAGUAUCCCGCCUGGGGAGUACGGUCGCAAGAUUAAAACUCAAAGAAAUUGACGGGGCCCGCACAAGCGGUGGAUUAUGUGGUUUAAUUCGAUGCAACGCGCAAAACCUUACCUAGGCUUGACAUCCCGCGCAUAGCUAUGAAAGUAGUGAAAUCCCUUCGGGGACGCGGUGACAGGUGCUGCAUGGCUGUCGUCAGCUCGUGUCGUGAGAUGUUGGGUUAAGUCCCGCAACGAGCGCAACCCUUGUAGUUAGUUGCCAGCAUUAAGUUGGGCACUCUAGCUAGACCACUUGCCGAUAAGGCAGAGGAAGGUGGGGAUGACGUCAAGUCCGCAUGGCCCUUACGCCUAGGGCUACACACGUAAUACAAUGGUCGGUACAGAGCGCUGCAAGACCGCAAGGUGGAGCUAAUCGCAGAAAACCCGAUCUCAGUUCGGAUUGCUCUCU
rnacentral:rRNA from 1 species